rnacentral:rRNA from 1 species
UACGUAGGGUGCGAGCGUUAAUCGGAAUUACUGGGCGUAAAGCGUGCGCAGGCGGUUUGAUAAGUCAGAUGUGAAAUCCCCGAGCUCAACUUGGGAACUGCGUUUGAAACUGUCAGACUAGAAUAUGUCAGAGGGGGGUAGAAUUCCACGUGUAGCAGUGAAAUGCGUAGAGAUGUGGAGGAAUACCAAUGGCGAAGGCAGCCCCCUGGGAUAAUAUUGACGCUCAUGCACGAAAGCGUGGGGAGCAAACAGG